rnacentral:rRNA from 1 species
AGUAACGCGUGAGUAACCUGGCCUAUACAGGGGGAUAACAGCUGGAAACGGCUGCUAAUACCGCAUAAGACCACAGUAUCACAUGGUGCAGGGGUCAAAGAUUUAUCGGUAUAGGAUGGACUCGCGUCCCAUUAGCUAGUUGGCAGGAUAACAGCCUACCAAGGCGACGAUGGGUAGCCGACCUGAGAGGGUGAUCGGCCACACUGGGACUGAGACACGGCCCAGACUCCUACGGAAGGCAGCAG